AACGCACCUUGCGCUCCUUGGUAUUCCGAGGAGCAUGCCUGUUUGAGUGUCAUUAAAUUCUCAACCUUAUCAGCUUUUGUUGAUAAUGGCUUGGAUGUGGGGGUUUAUUUGCUGGCUUCUUAAUGAUAUCAGCUCCCCUUAAAUGCAUUAGCUGGUUGCCUUGUGCAGACUUGUCUAUUGGUGUGAUAAUUAUCUACGCCGUGGACUGACUUGCCAGUAUUAGCACCGCUUCUAACUGUCUGUUUACUCGGACAAUAUAUAUGACAAUUUGACCUCAAAUCAGGUAGGACUACCCGCUGAACUUAA
rnacentral:misc_RNA from 1 species